rnacentral:rRNA from 1 species
UCAGUCGACUCCUACGGGGAGGCAGCAGUGGGGAAUAUUGCACAAUGGGGGAAACCCUGAUGCAGCCAUGCCGCGUGUGUGAAGAAGGCCUUCGGGUUGUAAAGCACUUUCAGUAGGGAGGAAGGUAGUGUAGUUAACACCUGCACUAUUUGACGUUACCUACAGAAGAAGCACCGGCUAACUCCGUGCCAGCAGCCGCGGUAAUACGGAGGGGUGCGAGCGUUAAUCGGAAAUUACUGGGCGUAAAGCGCAUGCAGGCGGCCUGUUAAGUCAGAUGUGAAAGCCCGGGGCUUAACCUCGGAAUUGCAUUUGAAACUGGCAGGCUAGAGUCUUGUAGAGGGGGGUAGGAAUUUCAGGUGUAGCGGUGAAAUGCGUAGAGAUCUGAAGGAAUACCAGUGGCGAAGGCGGCCCCCUGGACAAAGACUGACGCUCAGAUGCGAAAGCGUGGGGAGCAAACAGGAUUAGAUACCCUGGUAG